rnacentral:rRNA from 1 species
UCCUACGGGACGCAGCAGUGGGGGAUAUUGGACAAUGGGGGGGAACCCUGAUGCAGCGACGCCGCGUGAGUGAUGAAGUAUUUCGGUAUGUAAAGCUCUAUCAGCAGGGAAGAUAAUGACGGUACCUGACUAAGAAGCUCCGGCUAAAUACGUGCCAGCAGCCGCGGUAAUACGUAUGGAGCAAGCGUUAUCCGGAUUUACUGGGUGUAAAGGGAGCGUAGACGGUUGUAUAAGUCUGGAGUGAAAGCCCGGGGCCCAACCCCGGGACUGCUUUGGAAACUGUGUAACUUGAGUACAGGAGGGGC